UCUAAGGAUUAAAUCAAAUACACUUGCAGAGAGAUUGUUUAACAACUUUCUUCUCUCUAACAGGUUAUGUCGUUCCAUUAACGUUGAAUUGCAGAGGAACCCACUCAUUUAAACACUUUUUCUCUCUUGAUUUGUGUAGUUUCUGGUUGUAAGGGUUUCGUCUUUUCUAUCCAGGACUACUACUAGAAUCUAGUUCCACACUGGGUUUGGCUUUAAGGGUCCCUCUAUCUAUCGCAAGCUGAAUUUAUUAUGUGGUUUUUGAAUAGAAAUCAACAUCUGUGUUACAUUCUUGACUUUCUGCCCAAUAUUGUGAAUUGCAAUUCCUAAUGCAAAUUGGUUGCUUUGAGAAUGUGAUAGCAAAUUACUAUGCUCUUUUCAGUGGAUUAAUUGUAAACUUCCAGCGGUUGAGGAUUCUCAAGUUAUGGAAAGCUCUACUAGUUCAAGCAAUUGCUACUGCUAAUGCUGUUUCUGAUAUACCAACAAGAGAAGACCUAGAUGGUUCUGUAGUUACUUCUCCUGCACCAACCAUAAGGUUGCGCAGGGAAAAGCCGCUUCCAGCGGCUAGACCACCUACAGCUCGGGAGACCAUUGCUAAAACAAAAGAAUAUAGAUCUUUCCUAGACAGUGCCAGAUAUGCGAAAUGUGAUUUCUGAUUAUUGCGGGUAUUAAGAACCACAAGAAAGACAAGGUUGUCUAUGAUGAACAGACUCAUUCAUGGAAGCGAUGACAUGGUUAUGAUCGUGUGACUGAUGAUGAAGAUGUUCCCAUCAUCGAGGCCAAGAUGGGAUGAGCCAGGAGAGGAUCCUUUUGCCAAGAGACAAACAGAAAAGAAGCAGCGUGUUGCAAAGAAUGAAAAGAACCGGUUACGGAAUCUGAAACAAGUUGCUAAAGUUGGUGCUUUGCCAAGGAGCAGCAAAGAGUGUGACACAAGAAAAUGGAUACGAGCGAUACGCACGAAAUUGCUUGUCUGGUAUUAAUCGUUGGAAACUAACAAAGGAAAUUGCUUGUUUGGUGAUGAUCAUUAAGCUAACAAUCAAAUGGUUUCAAAUCGGCUGGGAUUGCAGAUUUGUGUUGUGACUUUGCUCUUCCUGUGGAUUUUCCUCUGAGCCAGGAAUCUGAAACAAGCUGCUAAGGUUGGUGUUUUGCAAAGGUCUCUAAGGAAUUUUGGGCUUUUGAAAACCUGAAUGCAACACUUAAUUUAACCAGAUGCUGCUUCAUCAUCGUCUACAAUUUCAAGUGAAGGUUGUUCCAAGGCGAAGCUUUGCCUGGCAUGUGAUGGCGGGAUGUCCGCAGGCCUUUGUAUGGGUGCAGUGUAUCUAAUGUCAAUCAUGUUACUGUAAGUAAAUGCAGUACAUUUUGUAUUGACGUUAGAUGCAGCUGCACCCAUACAAAAAGGCCUGGACUUAUGUUACUCUAAGUAUUUUUUUUUGUUUCUGUUUCACAAUUAAAAACGUAAAGAAGACUGACAGUGCUGAUUACAUGUUCAAGAUCUAUACCUUCCAGACCAUGCAUGGUCUUGACUGAAGACAGAAACGCAUAGGAGAUGCUGCGACAUCUUCCUGUCCUCGUACUAAAACUGAUAAAAAGAAGUUACAAAGUAAACCCGAGUUCUGUAUUGAUGGGGCGAAGUUGGUAAUGUUGACAGAUUUAUUAACCUGCUGUUAAACAUUUCUGAGAUGGUGUCAGCUAACACCCUUAAAACUUGGCGGUUUUCAUUUAUUGAUUUUAUGGUUUGGCCAAUUUUCUAGGGUGCAAAUUACAGAGAUCUUCUUGUGCCUUGCUUUUUUCUCUUUCGAUGCACUUGUUUGGUGCUCCCUUCUUGUAUUUUUUUUUCCUUACCAAUAAAAUCAUUACCUUUUUUGAAUCUUCUAUACUGUAUUUGUAUUUACUUCUGUACUGUAAUAUAUUUGCACAUUCCUGUUUUUAGGACCAAGAAUUUUUGUUUAAAGUAAUAACACUCUCUCUGACUCUCUCCCCCCAUGGAAGAAGUAAAAAAAAUGUAUAGACUUUGGACUCACUCUCUCUCUCUCUCUCGGUAAUCUUUCUCUGCAAAAAUCAGAAGACAAAACUCAAUCCGUUUUUACUAAGAAGGGAUCCAUGAUUUUCCAAUCGAGUAAGUUUAAUCUUUCACUAUGUAUCUCAUUUUUUUAACUUUUAAAGGUUAUUUGAAUAAAAGAAGAACCAACGUGAUGCUUCAUUUUGUCUAAAUUCUGGUUUGGGUUUCCUUAUCUCGUUCCAUUAACGUUGAAUUGCAGAGGAACCUAUUGAUUUCAUCACUUCUUUCUCUUGAUUGAAUUGCAGAGGAACCUAUUGAUUUCAUCACUUCUUUCUCUUGAUUUUGGUAGUUUCUGGGUGUAAAGGUUUCAUUUUUAUAUCCAGGACUACUAGUAUAAACUGGAUUUGGAUUUAAAGGUCACUGUAUCUAUCGCAAGUUGAAUUUAUUAUGUGGGUUUUGAAUAUAAAUCAACCUGUGUGUUACAUUUUAACUUUUUGUCCAAUAUUGUGAAUUACUUUGAUAAAGAUGUUUCCAUCAUCGAGGCUAAGAUGACUGAUGGUAUGUCAUAUAUCUUAAAUUAUUUAGUAGUUCACCAGUCCUCAAUUUCUUUUCGUUUUUAGUCGAGACUCAAGAUUUUUUGGUGAAUGUUUCUUAAUGGAAGAAGAAUAGUUUUAGGGGAUAGUUUUGUGUAUUAUGCUUGCAAGAUGUUGUUCCAAUCAUGUGAACUGUGAAGUCAGUGCAGGCGCUUCUUUGAUUCUUAAACCAUAAGUGAAUAAAAUUAACCUAAAACCUAUUAAAGUUGAGGACCAAUUUUAUCUCAGAGCAUCUUAUUAUAGGGCAAAUUUGGCUUUUAUGACUGUACUCAUAUGAACUAAGUGUUUCAUCUAGUCUAUUUAGCAUCUGGUAAUUGGCUUUUGCGAACUGUUCAAAAGAGUAGUCAAAGUUGAUACAUUUUAAAAGUUUGGCUAAUGGCUUCUGCGUUUUGCAAAUCAAAUCCACUUGUUUUCUCAUAGACUUGGUAAUGCUCAAAAAACUUAUCACCAAAUUUUACCGUGGGUCAGAAGAUCCUACCAGGAGAGAAAAUUUUAAAAGACUACCAGGAGAGGAACCCCCAAAGCAUCCUGGCAAGUUCCAAAAGUUUUUCCCCGUUGAUGAAGGAAAACGAAUGGGCUCUUUGGAGAGGGAGCAGACUGAUGAAGUUCUCAACCAGCUCUUUUACUCUAGGCGUUGGGUUUACCAUUCACCUGUUCCUUAAUUAUGCAUAAUGUCACUGGUGAUAUGUACUUUUCAAUAGGCUGUCAAUGCUGAGAAUGAGAAGACAAAAAGGAAUACGAAGCUGACGGGAAAGCAUCACCGUAUGCCAACAAGUUGAAGCCAGCAUCAGGGAAAUCAUUUAAGAAACCGUCAUCAUCUAAAAAGUCACCAGAAUAUACAAAGUCUGAAGAGAACCGACCCUAAAAGAAAGAAAGAAAACAAGGAACCAUGUCUCCUAUAGAAGACAGUAAGAAAUACUCGAUUGCUUAUCGCCUUAGGGUUCAGAUGAAUGAAGUUUUGGAUAAUUGGGAUUCUGAUUCGUACUGGAAAAAAAGGAGGAGGAAAAGAUCAAGGUGCUGGUUGAUUACUUGAAUCAUCUAAAAGUAUAUAGAUAGUAGAAUUUGUUAUGUACAGCUUCCAGUGCGUAGACCUUUGCUAAAUCAAAAGGUCUUAAGAACCACAAGAAAGACAAGGUUGUCUAUGAUGAACAGACUCAUUCAUGGAGUCACCAUGGUUAUGAUUGUGUGAAUGAUGAUAAAGAUGUUUCCAUCAUCGAGGCCAAGAUAACAGAUGAGCCAGGAGAGGAUCCUUUUGCCUAGAGACAAACAGAAAAGAAGCAGCGUGUUGAAAAGAACGAAAAGAAUUAGUUACGAAAUCUGAAGCAAGCUGCUAUACUUGGUGCUUUGCCAAGGUGGCAUUGUUAAAAUGAGUAGUCUUAUAAUUAUAAAAUAAUACUCAUUCGAUUCUUUUUUAAUAGGCCAGUUUCUAUAAAUAAAAGUUUCAAAAAAAAAAUAGGUCACUUUCCUAAUUCGGAAAGUCAAUUGUUAUUUUAAUAUUUUGGGACCACUUUUCUCUUAACUUCUUUUGAUGACAAGUGUCAUGUGGAUCAUUUCACUUUACUUCUUU